CGAUACACUCUCAGUGGGCUGUCUCCGUCGACCGAGACUCACCCUCGUUCUUCUUGGUUUAAAUCUUCUGGGUUUCAUAACUCAUCUUUGUUCUCCGUCGACCUCAUCAUUCUCCAAGCCGCCUCCGACCUGACCUCGAGUCCCCGACGUCAGUCUCUGACCCCGUGUCUCCAAGCCGCCUCCCAGUCCGAUCGAUCGAUCGCUACAAGACCG
rnacentral:lncRNA from 1 species